GCAAACUUGGUCAUUUAGAGGAAGUAAAAGUCGUAACAAGGUUUCCGUAGGUGAACCUGCGGAAGGAUCAUUACAGGGAGAGGGUGUCUGAGAACGCCCCUACCCACCCGUGUCUAAUGUACCUCUGUUGCUUUGGCGGGCCCGCUGAACCCCUGCACGGGGGGAAGCCGCCGAUGUCUCUGGACACCGGUCAGCGCCCGUCGGAGGACCUUCAGAACCGAUGAUAACCCUGAACCCUCUGAGUGAUAGUGAAAUCAGUUAAAACUUUCAACAAAGGAUCUCUUGGUUCUGGCAUCGAUGAAGAACGCAGC
rnacentral:misc_RNA from 1 species